CUAAGUACUAGAGCCGUAGGUGGUCAUAAGUCACCUACUACGCUAGUGCUUAAAA
rnacentral:pre_miRNA from 1 species